UUAGUGAAAAUUUUACCAGAUCAAUGAAGAAUCUGACAUCUACGGUUUCGAUUUACAGAUAAUCAGAAGAUCUAUGCACAAUAUUGAAGGUGUUGCUGGUGGUGGAGUUGAUGAGGGUGGUCAUUUAUGCAGCGUUUGAAGUGAGAUGUUGGUUUAAAUUCGUUUUUUAAAUCUUGGUUGAAGAUAAGCCCUUCGUAGUGGCUAAAUGGCGGACACAUGAUAACAAAUUUUCAUCUGGAUCGUAUCUGAAGAAGACGAAACAAGAGACACGACUUGUAGUUAGAAGGCUAGGCAAACUAUGUAUAUUUUUAUAUGUGGGUGGAUAAUUGCAUGCUAAGGUGAAAAAAAAUGACUGGGUAGGUUGUUUCAGAAGCCAAAGUGGAGCAUUUCUG
rnacentral:lncRNA from 1 species